AUCUUCCCAGUCAUAAAUUUUAUAAUUUUGUGAGUCAUUGAAACAGAGUCCAACAUGAUCAAACAGUAGCUCUCGACUCCAAAGUUCCCUUUGCAUUGACAUUUUUGGCAAAUCUCCAGCUCUGAAUUAUGCAAAGGGUGGGUCGGCCCUCUUCCCAUUCUACACACCAAUAUAAAAACCCAGAUUCUUUCCACCCAUCGCAAUUACGCGAGGUUUUAUAUGCCCUGUACAUAAACAAAGCCUAGUGUUAAACUCCUCAGAUUUAUUCUAAGGGGCAGAAGUUGCUACAUUAGCUGAGAUCAUGAGGAUCUGGAAUGUUUUUGCCUUGCUGUUUAUCUUGAUUCUUUGCUUUGGGACUUUCCCAGCUGAUGGGGCAGGGUCACGAAUGAGAAGAAGAUGCUUGUGCAAAAUGAAGAAACACCUACCUGUGAUGGACGGAGGGAUUGUUGGACAACACAAGAAAUGUUUCUGUAAACCUCAUAAAACAAGCAAACAUGUGUUUGUUCCUGGACCACUGCCUCAAGUGUGAAGGGAAGGCUUAGACAAAUACACAGUAUCCGCUCUAAACUA